UCUCUUUCAAUCGCAACGGGCAACUAAUUGGGAUUCCGGCUCCUGGUUCAGCUUGGAUUAAUGUCUAUCCAAGGGGAAUUCGUGAUUUCCUUAUCCAUGUAAAGGAUAAAUAUGGAAACCCAAAAGUUUUUAUCACUGAAAAUGGUAUAUUUGAA